AAGCAAAGCAAAUAAAGGUCCAUGUUCCUUUCACGUGAGUAUUGUUUCCUCCCCAUGUGCAUUUAUGUCCUCUUAAUUUUGGUAGUUUUUCCUUUCUUUUCAAAGCACCAAGUCACCAUUCUCUCUUAUUUAUGCUCUUAGCAUCUUUUUACUCUUGCAUAGGCUCCAAUUCAAAAUGGGCAUGCAUUGUAUGAAAUUUGUAACUCAUUUAUUCUCAUUAAUCGUUAAGUUUACAGUACCAAUGAGU
rnacentral:misc_RNA from 1 species